UCACCAGGAUCCUCAGUCACGGGCUCUUCUACUCGCCACAAUACAAACAAGCAUAGUGCAUAUAGAGAAAUUAACAAUACACCAAACUUAUACAUAAAAUACACAGUAAUAAUCUACACAUUAAAAUAAAAUCCUAGGAACAGAAAUCAUAAUUUUUGGAGUUAUAGAAUUUAAGUUAUGAAUUUUCAAAGGUUUUAUGUGUUUAAAAUAGGAUUAAGUGUGAGAUUAAUUUUCUUACUGUUGUCAUGACAAAACAGAGACACUAAGUGCUAAAGAAUAAAGUUACAAAUUUUAGGAACUGGAAUGAAGUAAUUUGGAGUUCAAAUGAAUUUUCUAUGGAAUAAAUAAGUUCUAGGAGUUGUUUUUGUAUUAAAAAUACAUUUUCUAAUUUAUUUAAUCUGAUUUUCCUCUCCCUGGAUUGCGCCUCAAUAAUCAGAAAGGUCAAGGGCUCUAGUGUAAUAAUUCUUGAGACACAGAGAACAACCCAGUGGACCGCGGGUUGAUAGAAAGGUUUUCUAGGGUCUCUUUAGAAAAAUGUACCCGCGAAGGGGUAUGGUUGUAUCUGGGCCGUUAGAUCUAAAGAGUGCGGUCCAGAUUAUAUCGAUCGACGAUGAUUCCCCUAUAACCCCGAGCCGUCCGAUUGAGUUUCGAUGAUCCGGAUUCAAAAUCUCCUAACACGGAUCCGAACCGGAUACUGUUAAUCCAAUGGUUCUGAUUUCCUUCCAGACUUGGUGCGAUCAGGGCCGUAGAUCCGUGCAUCUACCGUCCACGAGUCCUCCUUCCCACGGCGCCCUACACGGCGGCAGCGCCAGCCAGUGCGGCGGCGGCAUGGCCGGCGUAUAGUCCAUCGGCGUUUGCAUGCGCUAACCCAUAAUCUAAGCCUCGCAACGCUAUGAGAAGGACAAUCAGGACAUGCUAGUUAGGUUCUCACCGGUGAUUAGAGUCGCAGGGUGACCGGCAGCGGCACGGGGCGGAUCUGCGGCGGCGGUGAAGGAUUCUGACGACGCUGGUGGCCGAACUCGUGAAACACGGACACGAUUGCCCUCUCCACGGCCUAAGGAAGACCCACGACACCACCGAAGGCGCAGACGACGACUACGUUGAGGAUUCCCCCACAGCGGCACCCCGAGCAUCGCCGUGCUUGAUAUCCC
rnacentral:lncRNA from 1 species